rnacentral:rRNA from 1 species
GACGAACGCUGGCGGCAUGCCUAAUACAUGCAAGUCGAGCGAACAGAUGAAGUGCUUGCACUUCUGACGUUAGCGGCGAACGGGUGAGUAACACGUAAGGAAUCUACCUAUAAGCGGGGGAUAACAUUCGGAAACGGGUGCUAAUACCGCAUAAUAUCUUCUUCCGCAUGGAAGGAGAUUGAAAGACGGCUCUGCUGUCACUUAUAGAUGACCCUGCGGUGCAUUAGUUAGUUGGUGGGGUAACGGCCUACCAAGACGAGGAUGCAUAGCCGACCUGAGAGGGUGAUCGGCCACAUUGGGACUGAGACACGGCCCAAACUCCGACGGGAGGCAGCAGUAGGGAAUCUUCCGCAAUGGGCGAAAGCCUGACGGAGCAAUGCCGCGUGAGUGAAGAAGGCCUUCGGGUCGUAAAACUCUGUUAUAAGAGAAGAACAAAUUGUAGAGUAACUGCUACAGUCUUGACGGUAUCUUAUCAGAAAGCCACGGCUAACUACGUGCCAGCCGCCGCAGUAA